UCCUAGCUGACGAGUCCCAAAUAGAACAAAACAUACGUCCUGGAU
rnacentral:hammerhead_ribozyme from 1 species